rnacentral:rRNA from 1 species
AGUGAACGCUGGCGGUAGGCCUAACACAUGCGAGUCGAACGGCAGCACAGUAAGAGCUUGCUCUUACGGGUGGCGAGUGGCGGACGGGUGAGGAAUACAUCGGAAUCUACUUUUUCGUGGGGGAUAACGUAGGGAAACUUACGCUAAUACCGCAUACGACCUACGGGUGAAAGCAGGGGAUCUUCGGACCUUGCGCGAUUGAAUGAGCCGAUGUCGGAUUAGCUAGUUGGCGGGGUAAAGGCCCACCAAGGCGACGAUCCGUAGCUGGUCUGAGAGGAUGAUCAGCCACACUGGAACUGAGACACGGUCCAGACUCCUACGGGAGGCAGCAGUGGGGAAUAUUGGACAAUGGGCGCAAGCCUGAUCCAGCCAUACCGCGUGGGUGAAGAAGGCCUUCGGGUUGUAAAGCCCUUUUGUUGGGAAAGAAAAGUAGCAGGUUAAUACCCCGCUGUUCUGACGGUACCCAAAGAAUAAGCACCGGCUAACUUCGUG